GCCCCCUUUGACACUGAGGAAAUGUAUGUAUAACUGGGAACAUCAAACAAUUUCUCUUCACUCUGGCUAUAAAAGCACAAUGGACCAUUGUUUUGCUUAAGUCAGUGAUUUUUUUUUUUAACGCUGUAGUGUACUGUGGAUGCAUUAAUGUCUAUGUCUAAAUAAACUCUGAUGGCUGCAAGUGCAGUUGGAAUACCAGAAAGAGCUGACAUUUUUGGUAAGUGGGGAUAUACAUAGUUGAGUAAGAGGCUAGACUUUCCCUACAUGUUUGACAAUUGCUUCAGUCUGAAUAAUGAAUCACAUAUUAAAGUGUUCCAUAAACAUUAUUUUAAUCAGUACACAAAACCAAGACCUCAGUUUGAAGGUUUAAGCUGAGCUGUAUAUAUGUGUAAAGCACAGACUAUCACUGUAUGUAGAACACAUAAUACAGACCUUGAACAGAAAUCACCCCUUUAACCCAUUAAGGACACAUGACAUGUCAUGAUUGCCUUUUAUUCCAGAAGUUUGGUCCUUAAGGGGUUAAACAUGUCUGCUUUAGGCAAAAUAAUGUUUUCCAAAUUAUUCAAUACUGUUAGGAAAAACUGUCCAAAUUAUCUACACAAGUCAUCAACAUCUAUGGGCAUAUUUGCAGAUAAAUCAAUUGUAAAGUUUUUCCAACAGUACUAAUUAGGGGAUACAUUUUAAUUAAAUUAUUUUUCUUCAGUACAGGCACCUAUGGCAAGAGAUUGCUGCAAAACAACUUGCAGAAAAAUGUGAUUGGAUGACUAGACAAGGUGAUGCAGCAAUUUAAGAAAGUUAAAGGAACACUUUAGCGGUAGGAAGACAAAUGUGUAUUGUUAACGCUAUAGAGCCCUAGUCGCCGUUUAGGUGACUAGGGCCCUGUUCUGUGGCUAAUAAAUGUUUUUUUAAUCUUUCAUGAUUUAGUUUUUCACGAAUUGUACCAGAGGAUUGGAGGAAGGCAAAUAUGGGUCCUAUAUUCAAAAAGCCUUUGCUUGGAAAUGGUAGAUCUGUGAGUUUAACUUCUGUGCCUGGGUUUUUGAAGGAUUAUUCAGGGAUAAUAUUCAGGAAUGGGGGGCGGAGCCUAGCAGUGAACCAGAGCGGCCACACUUUUCCGAACUUUGCAAUAAGUUGCCCUAAAAGGCUGUUUUAGAAAGGCUACCUGGCGAACAAACAGGCUACAAACCUUGCCCAACGCACCCUAAUCAAUAUGGGUCGGAAAAACAAGAAACCCAAGGCGGACAAAGACACACCAAGCCGAGACAUUUGUGAGAUGCUUCGCAGUAGACAGAAGGCCGCAUGGGACAAGAUGGCGUCCCUUGAGGAGGGAUCUUCAUACUCCUCAGGCGACUUUUUUGCCGAGCCAGAGGAGGGAGCUGCCCUCAGAUUAAACACGGGACCCAGGCCACGCAAGCUGGAAGACAGGGAACCGGUCACCGCCACUCAGCUAAAAGCAAUGCUCGCGGAGCUCCGCACCAAUAUAGCGGGAGACAUGGCCCACUUUCAAAAGACCGUGGAGGGCGCAACAACGAAAAUUGCCCAGCUAUAGGUGGCACAUAGCACCCACGACUCAAGGCUAUCCACGGUGGAGAAGAGGGUCGAAGAACUAGAGAAUCUGCACUUCAGCGCCGCGAGCAGGCUUGACGCCAUGGAGGAUAUGCGGAAACGGUAUAACCUUUAAGAUUAGAGGUGUACAGGAGGCACUGGUGAUCUCGGACUUACCACACUUUGUACGGCGAUUACUUGCAGCAUACAUCCUUCACAAGCAGACGAAGGCAAUAAAACUUGAACGCGUGUUCCGCUUACAAAAAACCUGCGGGCACACCGCCAUCCGCAACGUCGGAUCUCAUUGUACAGUUCCAGUCACUGCAGGACAAGGCCCUACUCCUCACAGCAGUGAGGGGGAAAACUCUGAUAGUGUUUAAAGGAGCCACAUUGCAGAUAUUCCUGGACCUCACCAGGAGCACACUGGCCUGGCGCCGCUCUCUGCGUCCACACCUGCAGCUCAUGCGUGCAAAAGACAUCUCCUAUCGGUGGGGACUCCCAAGAACCAUCCGAUUCCAGGCACAAGGGGAAACUUACCAUGUGGGCACUCCAAAAGAGCUUGAAGACCAACUGUGCAAGCUGGGACACCUCAACCCAAGCGCAACCUCUAGUUCAGGACUAGUUCACCUAGACCCGGAUAAAAUCCCGGAAUUCACACCCCGUACGGCUCAAGUCCCAUUGGCGUCCAGAGACUUAACCUGACCCCCAAGGCUGAGACCAAUCGGCAGGAAGACACCCUAGCCACGACAGCCCUCCAUUAUACCGGGACUUACACAGUAACACCACUGAAUUGAUCCAAACAUCUAUUAAUGUUUACCUCUGAUUGUUUGCUUUACUAUUUUUAAAAUAUCGUUGUUUUUUUUCUUUUCCCAUUUUAUGACUUGACAAAUCACGUAUGCACUAAACUCAGCUGUCUAAUAUAACCACACACCAGCGGCAACUCUUGCAUUACCAUAUUGUAGCGCGCAAUCCGCUCAGAGACCUGACCAGAUGGGGCCCUAGCGCUCUGAUCACACAAUAUGCGACUCACAGGCACCUUAAUGCCCCCCACCCCUCCCGAUAGACCCUACCGGACCUAUGGUCCGAUUCUCUUUAAGCUACUACACAUGUGAGGGAGUGCGCCCCCCACCCCCCCCGUAAUUGUUAGAUACACU
rnacentral:lncRNA from 1 species